GACGAACGCUGGCGGCGUGCUUAACACAUGCAAGUCGAACGGAAAGGCCCUGCUUGCAGGGUACUCGAGUGGCGAACGGGUGAGUAACACGUGGGUGAUCUGCCCUGCACUUCGGGAUAAGCCUGGGAAACUGGGUCUAAUACCGGAUAGGAGCCAUUUUUAGUGUGAUGGUUGGAAAGUUUUUUCGGUGUAGGAUGAGCUCGCGGCCUAUCAGCUUGUUGGUGGGGUAAUGGCCUACCAAGGCGGCGACGGGUAGCCGGCCUGAGAGGGUGGACGGCCACAUUGGGACUGAGAUACGGCCCAGACUCCUACGGGAGGCAGCAGUGGGGAAUAUUGCACAAUGGGCGCAAGCCUGAUGCAGCGACGCCGCGUGGGGGAUGACGGCCUUCGGGUUGAAAACUCCUUGCGCUAGGGACGAAGCUUUUUGUGACGGUACCUAGAUAAGAAGCACCGGCUAACUACGUG
rnacentral:rRNA from 1 species